GCGCUGCAUUCGAGGCUGCGUGACGCUUGUCACCGGCCGGCUCCUUUCAGAUACCGGCAAUGACCCUCUAACAUCAAAUUCAGUCGUUUAGUGCCACGUUUAAAGCGACACACAUUCGUACUGCACAAAUUCUAUUUCUUUAUAUGGUACGCGGGUUGGUUAAUUGCUUGGCACAAGGGAACAGAAGGGCUUGAAGUGUUCCAAGCGCAGAAAGCUGUUGUACCACGUGACUGCUGACGAAACGCAGGGAGCAACGAUAGACUAAAAGUGGAUCCCUAAAUACUCACAUUUGUUCUCUUUAAAUAAGGGCCGAGUAUUCAAAACCAUGGUGUCAAACCGAACCCGAACCAAAAACAGUACCCGAGCCGGAAUUCCAGCCCUAACUGAAUCUGAACGUUGCCGACAUUUUUAGAACGUGCCUGAAGUCGAACCGAAGCUGAACCGAAAAGAAUUAUAAUGGUUACGAGUUUAUACCGAAAUGGUUCAAGCAUAAGGAAUGUAAACAGGCAAUGUAAUGACUUUUGAAAAAAAUGUAAUGACUAAACAGGAAAUAAUGACUUUUCACUUAGCCCAACCCACGAGAUCAUUACGAAUCACGACUUGCAUUAUUUGCAAGGAUGGACGUAGACGAUAGGUACGCGCUGGUAACACAGCGGCCACUUUGUCGGAGACGCUUGCACUUAUGUACUCGGCCAUGCCAGUUUUCUCGCGCUAUAGCGAUGUUGCUUGUAGGGCACUGCAGGGCUAUCACCAGAUACAACGCCAGGACACAAGACCUCGAGAAUAGAAAAUGGGAAAACAAACUUGUUCCUCAGCACGGUCUCUUGUAAGAAUAACACUGCGAUCGCUAAUGAAUGCUGCCACCUUCUCAGUACGUGGUAACAAAGGUUUAAACGGCACUGUAAAUGUGCUUUUGCUGUGUGGUAUGGUAGAACGUUAGGCGCCUCCAAGCAGAGCAGACUCUGCCGCGGCUACGUCGAGGAAUCUUUAUGCGCUCCUUCACGUGGCCCUAAAACGGGCUUGCCUGGACCGCCCAGAGCUACAGCACGGGACAGCCAUCCGUAUGAUUCUUGGCCGGGCAAAGACCGUACACAUGGCUACCACCCUAGGAGAGACUUGUCGCAACUGCUACCAGAGCGUGACCUCCACCACGUGGACAGCUUAUGGCGCACCCCAGGUAGCGCAGCUCGGCUCUUGGCAAGACUGCGGAGCCGCCCUCUGUAUACGGACGACAAGAUACGCGCGUCCAGCCACCGCUCCGCUUGCGGCACUGCCUGCGCACUGCCGUCUUUUAAUGAAUAUCUGCGAGGCUGUGCGGGCUCUCCCUGGCGGGCGAUUCACCAGAUGGCGCGCACGGUAGGAGUGGCGCCACUGUCGGCCCCUCGGCCCGAAGUGGAACCGCUCGUGUCUACAUCAGGCCUCGAACAUUCUCAAGUUCAACAAAUGGCAACACAGGGCGAAAAAAUCGAGCGUGAAGCGCUGCUAAAAAACAGGCAUAGUACACCAGUUAAAGAGGUUUCCCCGUUAGCGCAUUAUCUCCCGCUAGAGAGGCCGUAGUAAGCGCAAUUUUAACCUACAAACUUCCUUUAACAAUAAACGAAGCGUUUUUAUUACAUGACAAAGAGUACAAAAUCAUCAUUCCUAGUUUUAUAUUGCACUCUUUAUAACAAUCUGUUGUUUUUGCCAUUUUAAACACAAUAUAGCGUUCAGCAUCAUCGACCUCCCACGUGACUUCUGGCCUGGAUUCAAGAUUUUUACCGGUAUGUUCGCGUGCACGGUAGGUACGGAUUUUUUGGUUCGUACAUCGGUUGGUUAUCUUGUGCUAAAACCAGUUUAUUGCGCUUCGAUAUCUCGUUUUAUUUCACUUGGGGUGUAAGGCCGAAAGCUAGGUUUCAGUCGCGAGCCAUGUGGAACACGUCUGCAUCGAAAUGGGAGCCGCAUCGUGCUGCGACUGAGGACGGCAAUACCGACAUGCAGUAAUGAGGACGGCUCCAGUAUAAAACAACAAACUCCAUGCACUAAAUAGAAGUUGCUGCCUGCUACAACAAGGUCAUUGUGUGGACUUUCGCUGCUACUACAAGAGUCUGUGCCGAGUACAUCUUGGUCAUUAUGGGAGCCCCCACCUACACCAACAGGAAGGGGCUGGAGCCAAAUUCGCAAGGCUAUGCACCACGAAUAAAGAAGCCAUUCCAAAAUUAUUUGGAUGAGAUAUGAAGUCUACGGACGAGUGUGUCAAGAGUGAAAAGAGCCUCCACCAUCACUGCACCAGCACGGAUAUUGGCCGAGUCAUCCAAGUACCUCAGCAACAAAAAUUAUCUGUCUUCAGAUGUACCUGCACCCUCUGAACAAGCACAAACAACGCUGACAAAAAGAGUUCCGUCAGCUUGCCCUUCAUUAGUGAGCUUCCCGGCCUUGCCAAAUUCCAUUUCUGCCAAGUAUAAUUUUUUUCAAUAAAUGCAAGCUUUUUCAUUGUACAUUUUUGUUAGAGAUAAUUCCUCCUCCU